AUUGAACGCUGGCGGAAUGCUUUACACAUGCAAGUCGAACGGCAGCACGGACUUCGGUCUGGUGGCGAGUGGCGAACGGGUGAGUAAUGUGUCGGAACGUGCCCAGUCGUGGGGGAUAACGCAGUGAAAAUUACGCUAAUACCGCAUACGAUCUAUGGAUGAAAGCGGGGGAUCGCAAGACCUCGCGCGAUUGGAGCGGCCGAUAUCAGAUUAGGUAGUUGGUGGGGUAAAGGCCCACCAAGCCAACGAUCUGUAGCUGGUCUGCGAGGACGACCAGCCACACUGGAACUGAGACACGGUCCAGACUCCUACGGGAGGCAGCAGUGGGGAAUUUUGGACAAUGGGCGAAAGCCUGAUCCAGCCAUUCCGCGUGCAGGAUGAAGGCCCUCGGGUUGUAAACUGCUUUUGUACAGAACGAAAAGGUUUCUACUAAUACUAGGAGCUCAUGACGGUACUGUAAGAAUAAGCACCGGCUAACUACGUGCCAGCAGCCGCCGUAA
rnacentral:rRNA from 1 species